GACGGGCCCCGCACAAGCAGCGGAGCGUGUGGUUUAAUUCGAUGCUACACGAAGAACCUUACCAGGCCUUGACAUGCUAGGGAACCCGGGUGAAAGCCUGGGGUGCCCCGCGAGGGGAGCCCUAGCACAGGUGCUGCAUGGCCGUCGUCAGCUCGUGCCGUGAGGUGUUGGGUUAAGUCCCGCAACGAGCGCAACCCCCGCCGUUAGUUGCCAGCGGUUCGGCCGGGCACUCUAACGGGACUGCCCGCGAAAGCGGGAGGAAGGAGGGGACGACGUCUGGUCAGCAUGGCCCUUACGGCCUGGGCGACACACGCGCUACAAUGCCCACUACAAAGCGAUGCCACCCGGCAACGGGGAGCUAAUCGCAAAAAGGUGGGCCCAGUUCGGAUUGGGGUCUGCAACCCGACCCCAUGAAGCCGGAAUCGCUAGUAAUCGCGGAUCAGCCAUGCCGCGGUGAAUACGUUCCCGGGCCUU
rnacentral:rRNA from 1 species